rnacentral:rRNA from 1 species
CCUACGGGUGGCAGCAGUGAGGAAUAUUGGUCAAUGGACGGAAGUCUGAACCAGCCAUGCCGCGUGCAGGAUGACGGCUCUAUGAGUUGUAAACUGCUUUUGUAUUAGGGUAAACACCCCUACGUGUAGGGGCUUGAAAGUAUAAUACGAAUAAGGAUCGGCUAACUCCGUGCCAGCAGCCGCGGUAAUAGGGAGGAUGCGAGCGUUAUCCGGAUUUAUUGGGUUUAAAGGGUGCGCAGGCGGAUUUUUAAGUCAGCGGUAAAAUCGUGGGGCUCAACCCCAUCCAGCCGUUGAAACUGGGGAUCUAGAGUGUGCGAGAGGUAUGCGGAAUGCGUGGUGUAGCGGUGAAAUGCAUAGAUAUCACGCAGAACCCCGAUUGCGAAGGCAGCAUACCGGUGCACAACUGACGCUCAGGCACGAAAGCGUGGGUAUCGAACAGGAUUAGAUACCCCAGUAGUC